UACAGAGGUCUCAAGCGUUGUUCGGAUUCAUUGGGCGUAAAGGGUGCGUAGGUGGCAUGGUAAGUCGGAUGUGAAAUCCCGGGGCUCAACCCCGGAACUGCAUUCGAUACUGCUGAGCUAGAGUACUGGAGAGGAGAUUGGAAUUUACGGUGUAGCAGUGAAAUGCGUAGAUAUCGUAAGGAAGACCAGUGGCGAAGGCGGAUCUCUGGACAGUUACUGACACUGAGGCACGAAAGCGUGGGGAGCAAACAGG
rnacentral:rRNA from 1 species